UACGUAUGGUGCAAGCGUUAUCCGGAUUUACUGGGUGUAAAGGGAGCGCAGGCGGUGCGGCAAGUCUGAUGUGAAAGCCCGGGGCUCAACCCCGGUACUGCAUUGGAAACUGUUGUACUAGAGUGUCGGAGGGGUAAGUGGAAUUCCUAGUGUAGCGGUGAAAUGCGUAGAUAUUAGGAGGAACACCAGUGGCGAAGGCGGCUUACUGGACGAUAACUGACGCUGAGGCUCGAAAGCGUGGGGAGCAAACAGG
rnacentral:rRNA from 1 species